rnacentral:rRNA from 1 species
GUGCCAGCAGCCGCGGUAAUACGUAGUGUGCAAGCGUUGUCCGGAAUCAUUGGGCGUAAAGAGCUCGUAGGCGGUCUGUCGCGUCUGCUGUGAAAACCUGGGGCUUAACCCCGGGCUUGCAGUGGGUACGGGCAGACUAGAGUGCGGUAGGGGAGACUGGAAUUCCUGGUGUAGCGGUGAAAUGCGCAGAUAUCAGGAGGAACACCGGUGGCGAAGGCGGGUCUCUGGGCCGUAACUGACGCUGAGGAGCGAAAGCAUGGGUAGCGAACAGGAUUAGAUACCCUCGUAGUCC